rnacentral:rRNA from 1 species
UGGGGAAUUUUGGACAAUGGGCGCAAGCCUGAUCCAGCAAUGCCGCGUGCAGGAUGAAGGCCUUCGGGUUGUAAACUGCUUUUGUACGGAACGAAAAGGCUCUGGCUAAUACCUGGGGCACAUGACGGUACCGUAAGAAUAAGCACCGGCUAACUACGUGCCAGCAGCCGCGGUAAUACGUAGGGUGCGAGCGUUAAUCGGAAUUACUGGGCGUAAAGCGUGCGCAGGCGGUUUUGUAAGACAGAGGUGAAAUCCCCGGGCUCAACCUGGGAACUGCCUUUGUGACUGCAAGGCUGGAGUGCGGCAGAGGGGGAUGGAAUUCCGCGUGUAGCAGUGGAAUGCGUAGAUAUGCGGAGGAACACCGAUGGCGAAGGCAAUCCCCUGGGCCUGCACUGACGCUCAUGCACGAAAGCGUGGGGAGCAAACAGGAUUAGAUACCCCUGGUUAGUCCACGCCCUAAAGCGAUGUCAACUGGUUGUUGGGUCUUAAUUGACUCAGUAACGAAGCUAACGCGUGAAGUUGGACCGCCU